AUUCGACCUCAAAUCAGGUAGGAUUACCCGCUG
rnacentral:rRNA from 1 species